rnacentral:rRNA from 1 species
GACAGAGGGUGCAAACGUUGCUCGGAAUUACUGGGCGUAAAGCGCGUGUAGGUGGAUUGGUGUGUCAGAUGUGAAAUCCCUGGGCUCAACCCAGGAACUGCACCUGAAACUACCAGUCUUGAGUGGUGGAGAGGGAAGUGGAAUUCCUGGUGUAGAGGUGAAAUGCGUAGAUAUCAGGAGGAACACCGGUGGCGAAGGCGGCUUUCUGGACAGAUACCGACGCUGAGGCACGAAAGCUAGGGGAGCAAAC